rnacentral:tRNA from 1 species
GGAGGUAGAGCUCAGGGGUAGAGCAUAUGCUUAGCAUGCACGAGGUCCGGGGUUCAAUCCCCAGUAGCUCCA